rnacentral:rRNA from 1 species
UACGGAGGAUGCAAGCGUUAUCCGGAAUGAUUGGGCGUAAAGGGUCCGCAGGUGGCAAUGUGUGUCUGCUGUCAAAGAAUGAGGCUUAACCUCAUCAAGGCAGUGGAAACUACAUAGCUAGAGUACGGUCGGGGUAGAAGGAAUUCCUGGUGUAGCGGUGAAAUGCGCAGAGAUCAGGAAGAACACCGGUGGCGAAAGCGUUCUGCUAGACCUGUACUGACACUGAGGGACGAAAGCUAGGGGAGCGAAUGGG